UUGAUCUAAAUUAUAUAAGCACAUUUCUAAGCAUAUGCAUGUCAGUUGGAUGUGUUCUGUCCUAGUGGAUGAAACCACUUCUUGCACUAUCAUUUCCAUGCAUGGGAAUAUUACUGAAUUGAUUUGACAAAAUUCAAUGAAAUGAAUCUAUGGAUACAAAUAAGAAGAAUGUUAUGUGAUAUUCUUCGACAAAUUGAACACAAACUCAAGUAAUGGUUUAAUUUGGGUGGAAAUCUGCAGCUAAAUUACUUGAACAACUUGCAUCCAUGCUCUUCUUUCUCGUAAACUAUUGAUUAAUUGGAACUCAGAAUGGCAGUGUGACACCAACAACACAGAAUCAACUUCACAGUGUCACAUGAGUUCUUAGUCUGUAAUGAAAACACCAGUUACGUCCUAAAACAAGUGAUGUAACAUUUGCAUGACAACAAAGCACACAGAAGGUACAAUGGAGGUAACAGGUCAAAAUAAAAUAUGCAUAGCUUCCAAACUGAGAUAUUCAGUAAAAUAUUCUGAGACGUUCCAUCAUUCAAAGUGACUAAAAAGAGAGAAAGGGUCAAAUAAAGUUGCCCACUUUUACUAGUCCAUUCUACAAAAGUACCACACUAUGUGUACCUGUGAUUUUUUUACCUCUAAUGGAAGUGUUUUGAUAUUAUUUGCCCCAGCAGAAUUAGAUCUUCUGGAUUUUUAAGUGAUUAAGAUUCCUUCCCUAUAUGUUCAUUCACUGACAGUAGGUACUAUUCAACAAUGAUCCUCUGGUAUCUGCAAGUUCAUCACCACAGGAGCACAUAAUAAGGUACCAAAGAUUCAAAACAUUACAAGAAAAGACAGGAAGCAAAAGAAUAUCAGGUGAUGCUCCACUUGAUUCAGGAAGUAAUAAAAUACCUUUUUCAGCCUUUUGGCUAAGAUCAAGUGUCAUUCAGGGAGUCAAGUUAGAAGAGUUUAAAACCAUGAAAAUGAUCUUGGUCUCACAUACGUGCAUAGAUAUAUGUAAUACAAUUACAGGAAAAUUACUUUAGUCACAAAACAAAGGAAAAGUAAAAUCAAUGGAGGAACUGUGUAUAAAUUGCUUAAAUGACAAUGAUUUUGUUUUGCAUGUAAUUUCAGUCUCAGGAAAUUACAUUGUACAAGUCAAUACAUGACAAUCUUAACAAAUAAUUUGAUAAACCAAAUAUACCUUUAGCAGCUCAUGACUUGCACAGAGCAUUCCAACUCUAGUUCAUGCACAUCAUGGUAAAAAUAUUCUGCUUUUAUCCACAAGUUGAACUAACCAAUGAUUAUAGUUUACCUUUUGCAAACCUGUGCUAUCCAUCAUCCUGACCAGUAACAAUUAUGGACUUUGGCAUGGUCAUGGGCAUAUCAGUUAUCCUGUAUCAUCAGUAUUCACAUCAGACUAGGGGCAUGUUUAGUUAAGCUUCUUCAUUCGAACUUCUAGAAGAGAAUAGGAAAUAAAAUGUAAAAUAAAUUUCCCCAUAAGUUAAAACCACUCUAUGCAUAAAUUAAAUAUUUAAUUUGGUAUAGUUAAAUGAAGAAGUUUAUACGAAUUAGCUUACCAUAAGCUAGUUUUAGCUUAUGGAGAAGUUUAUAUUAUAUUUUCUUACUUUUUUCUCCUAAAGACAUUUAUGGAGAAAUUUAUCCAAUCAGACCCUAGAUAUAAAAUUUAGUCCAAAGCUGAUAAACUUCAUAUACUGACCCUUUAAAUUUGCAUGUAUUGAAUGCCAACAUCUCCAAUC
rnacentral:lncRNA from 1 species